CCUACGGGAGGCAGCAGUGGGGGAUAUUGCACAAUGGGGGAAACCCUGAUGCAGCGACGCCGCGUGAGUGAAGAAGUAUUUCGGUAUGUAAAGCUCUAUCAGCAGGGAAGAAAAAAGACGGUACCUGACUAAGAAGCCCCGGCUAACGACGUGCAAGCAGCCGCGGUAAGACGUAGGGGGCAAGCGUUAUCCGGAUUUACUGGGUGUAAAGGGAGCGUAGACGGCAAUACAAGUCGGAAGUGAAAUACCCGGGCUCAACCUGGGAACUGCUUUGGAAACUGUAUGGCUAGAGUGCUGGAGAGGUAGGCGGAAUGCCUAGUGUAGCGGUGAAAUGCGUAGAUAUUAGGAGGAACACCAGUGGCGAAGGCGGCUUGCUGGACAGUAACUGACGUUGAGGCUCGAAAGCGUGGGGAGCAAACAGGAUUAGAUACCCGAGUAGUC
rnacentral:rRNA from 1 species